CCCGCACAAGCAGUGGAGUAUGUGGUUAAUUCGAAGCAACGCGAAGAACCUUACCAGGGCUUGACAUCCCCUGACCGCGUAUGAAAGUACGUUUUCACCCUCGGGUGACAGGGAGACAGGUGGUGCAUGGUUGUCGUCAGCUCGUGUCGUGAGAUGUUGGGUUAAGUCCCGCAACGAGCGCAACCCCUACGUUUAGUUGCUAACGCGUGAAGGCGAGCACUCUAGACGAACUGCCGUUGACAAAACGGAGGAAGGUGGGAUGACGUCAAAUCAUCAUGCCCCUUAUGUUCUGGGCUACACACGUGCUACAAUGGCCGGUACAGACGGACGCAAAGCCGCGAGGUGGAGCAAAUCCUAAAAAGCCGGUCUCAGUUCGGAUUGCAGGCUGCAAUUCGCCUGCAUGAAGUCGGAAUCGCUAGUAAUCGCAGGUCAGCAUACUGCGGUGAAUACGUUCCCGGGCCUU
rnacentral:rRNA from 1 species